UACAGAGGGUGCGAGCGUUAAUCGGAAUUACUGGGCGUAAAGCGCGCGUAGGCGGCUUUGCCAGUCGGGGGUGAAAUCCCCAGGCUUAACCUGGGAACUGCAUUCGAGACUGCAUUGCUAGAGUAUGGGAGAGGGAAGUGGAAUUUCCGGUGUAGCGGUGAAAUGCGUAGAUAUCGGAAGGAACAUCAGUGGCGAAAGCGACUUCCUGGACCAAUACUGACGCUCAUGUGCGAAAGCGUGGGGAGCAAACAGG
rnacentral:rRNA from 1 species